rnacentral:tRNA from 1 species
CUUCCCAUGGCGCAAUCGGUUAGCGCGCGGUACUUAUAAUGCCGAGGUUGUGAGUUCGAGCCUCACCUGGAGCA